rnacentral:rRNA from 1 species
CCUACGGGAGGCAGCAGUGGGGAAUAUUGCGCAAUGGGCGAAAGCCUGACGCAGCGACGCCGCGUGAGGGAUGAAGGUCUUCGGAUCGUAAACCUUUGUCAGCAGGGAAGAACGGUCACUGUGCUAAUCAGCAGUGAAUUGACGGUACCUGCAAAGGAAGCACCGGCUAACUCCGUGCCAGCAGCCGCGGUAAUACGGAGGGUGCGAGCGUUAAUCGGAAUUACUGGGCGUAAAGCGCUCGUAGGCGGUAUGUCAAGUCAAGGGGGAAAUCCCCGCGCUCAACGUGGGAACUGCCUUUGAAACUGGCAAACUGGAGUGUGUGAGAGGAUAGUGGAAUUCCAGGGGUAGGAGUAAAAUCCGUAGAUAUCUGGAGGAACAUCAGUGGCGAAGGCGACUAUCUGGCACAUAACUGACGCUGAGGAGCGAAAGCGUGGGUAGCAAACAGGAUUAGAUACCCUUGUAGUC